AGCAGCCGCGGUAAUUCCAGCUCCAAUAGCGUAUAUUAAAGUUGCUGCAGUUAAAAAGCUCGUAGUUGAAUUUCGGGACUAAUAUGUUGGUCGUGCCUCGGUACGUACUGAUAUUUUUGGUUUCUCCCUUCUGACGAACCCUGAUGUCAUUAAUUUGGUGUCUUGGGAAAUCAGGACUGUUACUUUGAAAAAUUAGAGUGUUUAAAGCAGGCUCACGCUUGAAUACAUUAGCAUGGAAUAAUGAAAUAGGACGUUUGAUUCUAUUUUGUUGGUUUCUAGGAUCGACGUAAUGAUUAAUAGGGAUAGUUGGGGCAUUAGUAUUCAAUUGUCAGAGGUGAAAUUCUUGGAUUCAUUGAAGACUAACUACUGCGAAAGCAUUUGUCCAAGGAUGUUUUCUAUUAAUACAAGAACGAAAGUUAGGGGAUCGAAGACGAUCAGAUACCGUCGUAGUCUUAACCAUAAACUAUAGCCGACUA
rnacentral:rRNA from 1 species